rnacentral:rRNA from 1 species
AUUGAACGCUGGCGGCAGGCCUAACACAUGCAAGUCGAACGAGUGGCGGACGGGUGAGUAAUGUCUGGGAAACUGCCUGAUGGAGGGGGAUAACUACUGGAAACGGUAGCUAAUACCGCAUACUAUCGGAUGUGCUCAGAUAGGAUUAGCUAGUAGGUGGGGUAAAGGCUCACCUAGGCGACGAUCCCUAGCUGGUCUGAGAGGAUGACCAGCCACACUGGAGCUAAGACACGGUCCAGACUCCUACGGGAGGCAGCAGUGGGGAAUAUUGCACGAUGGGCGCAAGCCUGAUGCAGCCAUGCCGCGUGUAUGAAGAAGGCCUUCAGGUUGUAGAGUACUUUCAGCGAGGAGGCGUUACCCGCAGAAGAAGCACCGGCUAACUACGUACCAGCAGCCGCGGUAAUAC